CUGUGGAGGUCCACUCGUGUGAAGGAACUGGGCAGAGGCUUAGGUUUCUUGGGUUGGAUUGGGCUGAAUUGGCGGGAAAUCAGCAAUUGGUUUCUAAAUCCUGGACAUCGAGGGUUUUUGUUUCAGACGCGACGGUGGCAUUGACAGUGGUUUGACAGGUCCUGGACGUGACAGGCGGAAGUCAGUGGUGGGUGCCCGUCUGUGCGUGUCCAAGGCCUGUGGCAGCAGGAGGCCCUCUUCCGUGGACCACCUGGGACAGAUUGAGAUGAUGGAGUUCAUUACCAAAAGGAGCAAAAUUGUUCUCGAGCCGUGUCCCCUGGUUCCAAGGGAGGUGUGUGGUAAUGGAAUGACGGAGAGAGUGGACGUUGGUUACAGAAAACGACUUUAUUUUCGUUAGUGACGGAGCUGUCUUUCCAGCUGUGAGGAAAGAAGGCCGAGGCUGAGUUAGUGGCACUUCCCAGCGCUUGGGCACAGGUCAUUGUGGCCUUGGCUGACUGACAGCAUCCCCUGACACCUGCUGGGCCUGGGCAAGAGGACGGAGCCGAGACAGCUGCACCGCCCGGCACCGCAACGGCAGCGCCCGGGAGCCGCCUCAGGCUCCUGCA
rnacentral:lncRNA from 1 species